GUUACUAUAGCAUAAAAAGUGUGUUUGUUUUAAGCGUGAGAGGUUCUUAGUAAUU
rnacentral:tRNA from 1 species